rnacentral:rRNA from 1 species
AUUGAACGCUGGCGGCAGGCUUAACACAUGCAAGUCGAACGGUAACAUAAAGAAGCUUGCUUCUUUGAUGACGAGUGGCGGACGGGUGAGUAAUGCUUGGGAAUCUAGCUUAUGGAGGGGGAUAACUACGGGAAACUGUAGCUAAUACCGCGUAAUAUCGAAAGAUUAAAGUGUGGGACCUUCGGGCCACAUGCCAUAAGAUGAGCCCAAGUGGGAUUAGGUAGUUGGUGAGGUAAAGGCUCACCAAGCCGACGAUCUCUAGCUGGUCUGAGAGGAUGACCAGCCACACUGGGACUGAGACACGGCCCAGACUCCUACGGGAGGCAGCAGUGGGGAAUAUUGCGCAAUGGGGGCAACCCUGACGCAGCCAUGCCGCGUGAAUGAAGAAGGCCUUCGGGUUGUAAAGUUCUUUCGGUAGCGACGGAAGGCAUUUAGUUUAAUAGACUAGGUGAUGAC